rnacentral:rRNA from 1 species
GACGAACGCUGGCGGCGUGCCUAACACAUGCAAGUCGAACGGGGAGUUAUUUAUAACUCCUAGUGGCGAACGGGUGAGUAACGCGUAGACAACCUGCCUCUAAAUUGGGGACAACACCGCGAAAGUGGUGCUAAUACCGAAUGUGGUAUCUUGGUCGCAUGACUGAGAUAAGAAAGGUGGCCUCUAUUUAUAAGCUACCGAUUAGAGAUGGGUCUGCGUCUGAUUAGCUAGUUGGUGAGGUAAUGGCUCACCAAGGCAACGAUCAGUAGCCGGUCUGAGAGGAUGAACGGCCACACUGGGACUGAGACACGGCCCAGACUCCUACGGGAGGCUG